CCCCGACAUCAAGAGAGUGGCUGACGCCAACGCCAACCUGCCGACCGGGGCAAGGUGGUUGCUCUCUCACCGCAGAUAAACGGGGAGAGGGGAUGGGACUCGGUUUUCCAACAGAAAACUUCGGGUAAUCCAACCGGAAUCG
rnacentral:ncRNA from 1 species